AUGUUAUCAAAGAGAUACCUUGGGCCCUUCAAAUUACAAGGAGAAUCAGAUCCGUCGCAUACGAGCUUUCUCUCCCACCGUCAUCAUAGAUUCAUCAUGUCGUCCAUGUAUCUUUGUUACGCCCUUUUUAUGAUCGGAACCCCUCAAACCCUCUAUUUUCCAUUCCGCCUGAGUUUGAACCAACAAAUGAGGAAACUGAGAUUGUUGCCGACACAGAGUGCCACGGGUGACUGA